rnacentral:rRNA from 1 species
UAGCCGUACGGGAAACUGAGAGUAAUACCGUAUGUCGUCCCGUUACGGGGGAAAGUAUUUAUCGACCAAAGGAUUACGCCCACGUUGGAUUAGAUAGUUGGUGGGGUAAUGGCCUACCAAGUCUACGAUCCAUAGCUGGUUUGAGAGGAUGAUCAGCAACACUGGGACUGAGACACGGCCCAGACUCCUACGGGAGGCAGCAGUGGGGAAUCUUAGACAAUGGGCGCAAGCCUGAUCUAGCCAUGCCGCGUGGACGAUGAAGGCCUUAGGGUUGUAAAGUCCUUUCAGAUGGGAAGAUAAUGACGGUACCAUCAGAAGAAGCCCCGGCUAACUCCGUG